UCUCGGUAGAGAAUCCAAUAUUCACCCUGACUUACUGAGGAUUCUAGUUUUUAAAGUAUGGGCAUGCAGGCAAGUGGCCAGAAUGUUAAAAUAAUGAGGGCUCAGUGGCUGCAAGUAUAAAGUAGGACAGCUAUGACUUUUUCAUAAAUUCACUGGCCUCACCUCUGAUGAACUGCUUUUAGGUAGCAUCACCCAGAUUGCCAUCUCAGAGGAGAGCAUGGAAGAGGCAGGGCUGGAAUGGAACUCAGCUCUCACUGCUGCUGUCACCAUGGCCACAGAGGAGGGCGUGAAGAAAGACACAAAGGAAAUUUCAGAAUUCUGUCUUCAUCUUUGGCUUUCAACAGUUUGAUGAUAAUACAAAGCUAAGAGAGGACAAAUGCCUCAAGAACAACCGAGAGAG